GGAAUAUUGCACAAUGGGCGAAAGCCUGAUGCAGCGACGCCGCGUGAGGGAUGACGGCCUUCGGGUUGUAAACCUCUUUCAGCAGGGAAGAAGCGAAAGUGACGGUACCUGCAGAAGAAGCACCGGCUAACUACGUGCCAGCAGCCGCGGUAAUACGUAGGGUGCGAGCGUUGUCCGGAAUUAUUGGGCGUAAAGAGCUUGUAGGCGGUUUGUCGCGUCUGCCGUGAAAAUCCGGGGCUCAACCCCGGACUUGCGGUGGGUACGGGCAGACUAGAGUGUGGUAGGGGAGACUGGAAUUCCUGGUGUAGCGGUGAAAUGCGCAGAUAUCAGGAGGAACACCGAUGGCGAAGGCAGGUCUCUGGGCCACUACUGACGCUGAGAAGCGAAAGCAUGGGGAGCGAACAGGAUUAGAUACCCGUG
rnacentral:rRNA from 1 species